rnacentral:rRNA from 1 species
UACGGAGGGUGCAAGCGUUGUUCGGAAUCACUGGGCGUAAAGCGCGUGUAGGCGGCUUGGCAAGUCGAGUGUGAAAUCCCAGGGCUCAACCUUGGAACUGCACCCGAAACUGCCUCGCUGGAGUCCCGGAGAGGGUGGCGGAAUUUCCGGUGUAGAGGUGAAAUUCGUAGAUACCGGAAGGAACACCAGUGGCGAAGGCGGCCACCUGGACGGUGACUGACGCUGAGACGCGAAAGCGUGGGGAGCAAACAGG